rnacentral:rRNA from 1 species
ACGCACGCUGGCGGCGCGCUUAACACAUGCCAGUCGAGCGAUGAAAUUUCGACAGAUCCCUUCGGGGUGAAGAUGAAAUGGAUUAGCGGCGGACGGGUGAGUAACACGUGAGUAACCUGCCUUUGACAUUGGGAUAGCCUCGGGAAACUGGGAUUAAUACCAAAUGACACUAACUGAUCACAUGAUCAAUUAGUCAAAGAAAUUCGGUCAAAGAUGGACUCGCGGCUGAUUAGCUAGUUGGUGAGGUAACGGCCCACCAAGGCGACGAUCAGUAGCCGGCCUGAGAGGGUGAUCGGCCACAUUGGAACUGAGACACGGUCCAAACUCCUACGGGAGGCAGCAGUGGGGAAUAUUGCACAAUGGGGGAAACCCUGAUGCAGCGACGCCGCGUGAGCGAAGAAGGCCUUCGGGUCGUAAAGCUCUUUUAUGAGGGAAGAUAAUGACGGUACCUCAAGAAAAAGCCCCGGCUAACUACGUG